GCAGUCGAGCGGUAACAGGGGAAGCUUGCUUCCCGCUGACGAGCGGCGGACGGGUGAGUAAUGCUUAGGAAUCUGCCCAGUAGUGGGGGAUAGCCCGGGGAAACCCGGAUUAAUACCGCAUACGUCCUACGGGAGAAAGCAGGGGAUCUUCGGACCUUGCGCUAUUGGAUGAGCCUAAGUCGGAUUAGCUAGUUGGUGGGGUAAAGGCCUACCAAGGCGACGAUCCGUAGCUGGUCUGAGAGGAUGAUCAGCCACAUCGGGACUGAGACACGGCCCGAACUCCUACGGGAGGCAGCAGUGGGGAAUAUUGGACAAUGGGGGCAACCCUGAUCCAGCCAUGCCGCGUGUGUGAAGAAGGCUUUCGGGUUGUAAAGCACUUUCAGUAGGGAGGAAAACCUUAUGGUUAAUACCCAUGAGGCUUGACGUUACCUACAGAAGAAGCACCGGCUAACUCCGUGCCAGCAGCCGCGGUAAUACGGAGGGUGCAAGCGUUAAUCGGAAUUACUGGGCGUAAAGCGCGCGUACGUGGGUUGGUAAGCGAGAUGUGAAAGCCCCGGGCUUAACCUGGGAACGGCAUUUCGAACUG
rnacentral:rRNA from 2 species